ACCUGGCUGGCUCAGUUGGUAGAGUUUGCGACUUGGGAUGGCAGGGACAUGAGUUCGAGCCCCAUGUUGGGCA